CGCCCCCACACCUCUAGCCUGCCCAGCAUCCCGUAGGAGCGCUCACCUGCUGGGCUCCGGAGUCGCCUUCCUUCCUCUUCAUUUUGGCAAGGCACAUUUGGCGGGUGCCAAGCCUGGCCGCUCGCUUCUCCGGCCCUCCAGAGCAGCCUCAGGCUUAGCUUCCCGAAUAUCAGCUCCAGUUGGCUGCUUCUCCAGUCCCGAGCCCUUGACCUGGAGGAGGGGACGGGACCGGGGACCUCGGCUGGGAUUUUUACCUGGCAUGGGUCGCCGCGGCUAGGGAGGAAGACCACUUGCUCUCCGUUUCUUUCUGGAAGAAAGCCCCUCACCACCCAGCUGCCGGUACUUUGCUUCCCCCCAGGAGCCGCAGUGCAAGUAGCAGCGCAGUGCGGGGGAGGGGGUGGGGUUUGAGGAAGCUGUUUGUGAAGUGCCCCUUGAAUACUUGCCUCUCUGAGGCCAUCAGUCCUGUCCGGGUCCGUAGUCCUGGCAUGGUCCGCCGGGUGCAAACACAGUCGCCGCGGCUGCCGGGCCAGAGGAGAACAGCUGCUUUAAAGCUGAGACCAACCCACGGGUGGCCUGUCAGGGCCACGGAUGUUCAUGACGUCAUCCUGAAGGCGAGCGGAGAAAGCGAGUGGAGAGGGGGGAGCCGCGCUUCACAUCAAAUGUCCCCUGUGGCCAUGGCAACAGCUUUGGGGGAGGGGGUGCCGGUCCGCGGGCCAGCAGCGGGCAGCCUGCGACUCCUGCCAGGGUCCAGCGCUCCGCUGGGGUAGAGUCCGUCAUUAGUGCUGAAUCCAGUUGUGCCCGGACCAGAAGAGACACCAGAGCCAGUCCCGUCCCCUCCCCGGGCUGGUCAUAGCAGGCCCAACCCUGGACGGACACACAAAUAUCUGUGCUGCCCACAUCCAGCCAACACAGGCAGCAGGAUAUUUCCUCCUAGUCAGACUGGUGCCGUGCCAGAAGCCACACAGCUGAUAAGUGGUGGAUCCAUCUUGAAUUUGACUUCUAGACACUCCCUUUUCAUAGGACAGUGGGAGUUUAAUCAUGGACAACAAUUCUUCUUCAGAUUAGAACUUAAUUGGAGGACAGAUUGGCAGCUCAGCCGACCUUACUGUCAUCGCCAUUAGCCAAAUAAAGAUAAACCUUGACACUGCCAGUUUCCUCAAUAUUCUCAUG
rnacentral:lncRNA from 1 species